GCGGCGCCAACUCCGCCCGGCCGCUCUUAAAGGGACCGCGUCCGGGGCGACACACGGGGCUGUGAACCGCGCCAAGCGCAGUCCGAGCCAGGCCCUCUCCUCGCUGCACACAUCCACGGUAACGGGACCGGAGACCUGCCACCACCCAGGAGGGGAAACGGAUCUCGUGAGGUAGAUUUGAGGAAGCCGUUUGGAGACUGAACUCUCAUUCUUCAAACGGGGCACUGGAGCAAGGGUCAGGGAGAGCCUUGGAGCAGGUGUGUCUAGCGCGCACCGGAAACCCCCAGGAGCAGCGGCCUGAGGAUUCUCACGGGUAGGGAUGGCAUAGCUUCCCGUUGGGAGCCUGAGGGUGGCCUGCCAGUGGAGCUGUGCCUGUAGGCGCCAGGACACAGGGCCUCCACCCACGAGCAUGCCCCUGGCCAGCCCAACAGGACUGCAUGCGUUUGUACAACACUUUGAAAUGUGACUAGAAAAAAUAUGAACGCCUGUAAGUUCAGGAGUCGAGGUGUAUAUCCAUCACCCACUGGACCUGCAGCAUUUGGACAAAACAUGGACAAACAUUUGUGUCCUUAGCAUUUUUGACCUCGGUUCCCACAUAAAUGAACGCCUUUUAAACUGUAAGGGAGAAUACGUGCACUCGAAUACCACUUCAUCAAAGUCUUGUCUGAAUGCUGCCUUGGAGUCUGAUGUAUCAGUGAAGAACAAAGGCCAGUGAGCUGGAUGUCUGGGUGCUGUUGCAGAUUCUUCAUAAACAUCAUACCAGUCAGAGGCCAGCUAGGGGACAGAUGUUGCACUCAACAGAUUAACUGAAAAGAGUGUAAUCUAAGAACAAUUUGAAGGAUUGGGCACAAUGGAGGAAGCACCAACAGAGAAUAGUGCUCAGAGGUUAGUAAACAAGAAGCCAGAGGCCUCAGGAAGCAAGAGAAUAAGGUGAGUACUAGGUCAAGAGCAUAUACAGUAUGUUUUCAUUUUGUAUCAGUAAGAUCUAGCACAUUAUCUCAAGCAAAAAAAGUGCUCACUAAAGCUGUUGAACAGGAGUAUAAAAUUUCUAGACUGGACACUAACUGGUGGAAUGCUGUAAACUGAAACCAAAUCCACCCUGGCCUUGUCCUAUAAACAAAGCCGGCCCUUCCUCGACCUACAGGCAAUGAGUACAUAUAAGUCAGUCCUGAUUAUGCUAGGGUUCCCAAUAAUCCAGGAUAAUCUUCUCAUACAAAGAUUCAUUAACC
rnacentral:lncRNA from 1 species